GUCCAGACUCCUACGGGAGGCAGCAGUGGGGAAUAUUGCACAAUGGGGGGAACCCUGAUGCAGCGACGCCGCGUGAGUGAAGAAGUCAUUCGUGAUGUAAAGCUCUAUCAGCAGGGAAGAAAAUGACGGUACCUGACUAAGAAGCCCCGGCUAACUACGUGCCAGCAGCCGCGGUAAUACGUAGGGGGCAAGCGUUAUCCGGAUUUACUGGGUGUAAAGGGAGCGUAGACGGCAGCGCAAGUCCGAAGUGAAAGCCCGGGGCCCAACCCCGGGACUGCUUUGGAAACUGUGAAGCUGGAGUGCGGGAGGGGCAGGCGGAAUUCCUGGUGUAGCGGUGAAAUGCGUAGAUAUCAGGAGGAACACCGGCGGCGAAGGCGGCCUGCUGGACCGUAACUGACGUUGAGGCUCGAAAGCGUGGGGAGCAAACAGGAUUAGAUACCCCCGUACAA
rnacentral:rRNA from 1 species